AGCAAUGCAGGGAAAUGUGAUUUGAUGU
rnacentral:piRNA from 1 species